AGUGAACGCUGGCGGUAGGCCUAACACAUGCAAGUCGAACGGCAGCACAGUAAGAGCUUGCUCUUACGGGUGGCGAGUGGCGGACGGGUGAGGAAUACAUCGGAAUCUACUUUUUCGUGGGGGAUAACGUAGGGAAACUUACGCUAAUACCGCAUACGACCUACGGGUGAAAGCAGGGGAUCUUCGGACCUUGCGCGAUUGAAUGAGCCGAUGUCGGAUUAGCUAGUUGGCGGGGUAAAGGCCCACCAAGGCGACGAUCCGUAGCUGGUCUGAGAGGAUGAUCAGCCACACUGGAACUGAGACACGGACCAGACUCCUACGGGAGGCAGCAGUGGGGAAUAUUGGACAAUGGGCGCAAGCCUGAUCCAGCCAGACCGCGUGGGUGACGAAGGCCUUCGGGUUGUAAAGCCCUUUUGUUGGGAAAGAAAAGCAGCAGGUUAAUACCCCGCUGUUCUGACGGUACCCAAAGAAUAAGCACCGGCUAACUUCGUG
rnacentral:rRNA from 1 species